rnacentral:rRNA from 1 species
UACGAAGGGGGCUAGCGUUGCUCGGAAUGACUGGGCGUAAAGAGCGUGUAGGCGGCCCGAUAAGUCCGCCGUGAAAGUCCAGGGCUCAACCCUGGAAUGCCGGUGGAAACUGUCGGGCUGGAGUCCGGAAGAGGCGAGUGGAAUUCCUGGUGUAGCGGUGAAAUGCGUAGAGAUCGGGAGGAAUACCAGUGGCGAAGGCGGCCUGCUGGGCCACGACCGACACUGAGGUGCGAAAGCGUGGGGAGCGAACCGG